CCAGACUCCUACGGGAGGCAGCAGUGGGGAAUAUUGCACAAUGGGGGAAACCCUGAUGCAGCGACGCCGCGUGAGUGAAGAAGUAUUUCGGUAUGUAAAGCUCUAUCAGCAGGGACGAAAAUGACGGUACCUGAGUAAGAAGCCCCGGCUGACUACGUGCCAGCAGCCGCGGUAAUACGUAGGGGGCAAGCGUUAUCCGGAUUUACUGGGUGUAAAGGGAGCGUAGACGGUUAUGCAAGUCUGGAGUGAAAGGCGGGGGCUCAACCCCCGGACUGCUUUGGAAACUGUGUAGCUAGAGUGCUGGAGAGGCAAGCGGAAUUCCUAGUGUAGCGGUGAAAUGCGUAGAUAUUAGGAAGAACACCAGUGGCGAAGGCGGCUUGCUGGACAGUAACUGACGUUGAGGCUCGAAAGCGUGGGGAGCAAACAGGAUUAGAUACCCCGGUA
rnacentral:rRNA from 1 species